GGACUGGCUUUAGCUCAGCGGUUCCUUCGGCAAGUGCAUUCUGCGCUUAAACCGUCCUUUCGAGGGUGGUUCGAGACCCGCGGGCGCUUUCCAGUCCUUUU
rnacentral:vault_RNA from 1 species